AUAUUUUGAAUUAAGUAUAUUCAUAAUAUGUUAUCAGACGAAUGUUGUUAAAGAUAUAGGUUGAUAUUUGUGAAGGGAAAGAGUUGCCUCUCUCCCAACAAACGUUGCACACAAGGUGGGUAUGGAUUGUUAAAAGUGCCAUAAACACUUAUUGUGAAUGAUCCUUCCGCAGGUUCACCUACGGAAA
rnacentral:misc_RNA from 1 species